UACGUAGGUGGCAAGCGUUGUCCGGAAUUAUUGGGCGUAAAGCGCGCGCAGGCGGUCUUUUAAGUCUGAUGUGAAAGCCCACGGCUCAACCGUGGAGGGUCAUUGGAAACUGGGGGGACUUGAGUGCAGGAGAGAAGAGUGGAAUUUCACGUGUAGCGGUGAAAUGCGUAGAGAUGUGGAGGAACACCAGUGGCGAAGGCGACUCUUUGGCCUGUAACUGACGCUGAGGCGCGAAAGCGUGGGGAGCAAACAGG
rnacentral:rRNA from 1 species